UUCUCAUAGACGCCAUCACCAUGCAUCACUUUCAUUCUUUUCCUUUUUUUUUUUUCUCUCUUCCUCAUCUAUAAAUACAACUUACCAUUCUUUUCAUAUUUUCUCAUCUUCCAUUAUUCAGUUUUUCAAAUUUUACAACAUUAAUUUUCUUCCUUAUUUUUUUCCCUAUAAAUCAAUACUCACCCCUUUGAAAAUGAAGAAAUUGUCCAUCUUCACCUUUCCACUUCUCAGUUUAUUUUUCAUUGCAGUUUUUCAUAUGGUUCAAGCUCAAAAUAUUGAUAUUUCUCCAGCACCUACUCCUACAAGUGAUGUCACUGCUCUGGAUCAAGGAAUUGCUUACCUUCUUAUGAUGGUGGCGUUGGUGAUUACAUACAUGUUACAUUGAUUUUUUUUCCUAAUUAAUAUGUGUAUUUUUCUCUUAAUAUUUGUUGAGGAGGUUCCACCAUUAUUUUGUACUAUAACAAAAAUAAAAUUAAUGAAAUUUUAGAA